rnacentral:rRNA from 1 species
CCUACGGGUGGCAGCAGUGAGGAAUAUUGGUCAAUGGCCGAGAGUCUGAACCAGCCAAGUAGCGUGAAGGAUGACUGCCCUAUGGGUUGUAAACUUCUUUUAUAUGGGAAUAAAAUGUUCCACGUGUGGGAUUUUGUAUGUACCAUAUGAAUAAGGAUCGGCUAACUCCGUGCCAGCAGCCGCGGUAAUACGGAGGAUCCGAGCGUUAUCCGGAUUUAUUGGGUUUAAAGGGAGCGUAGGUGGGUUGUUAAGUCAGUUGUGAAAGUUUGCGGCUCAACCGUAAAAGUGCAGUUGAAACUGGAAGUCUUGAGUACAGUAGAGGUAGGCGGAAUUCGUGGUGUAGCGGUGAAAUGCUUAGAUAUCACGAAGAACUCCGAUUGCGAAGGCAGUUUACUGGAAUGUAACUGACACUGAGGCUCGAAAGUGUGGGUAUCAAACAGGAUUAGAUACCCUAGUAGUC